rnacentral:rRNA from 1 species
UGCUGCCUCCCGUAGGAGUUUGGACCGUGUCUCAGUUCCAAUGUGGGGGACCUUCCUCUCAGAACCCCUACUGAUCGUAGCCUUGGUGGGCCGUUACCCCGCCAACAAGCUAAUCAGACGCAUCCCCAUCCCUGACCGAUGAAAUCUUUAAUCGUCGUUGGAUGCCCGCAGACGAUGCCAUGAGGUAUUAGGCCGACUUUCGACGGGUUAUCCCUCAGUCAGAGGCAGGUUGGAUACGCGUUACUCACCCGUGCGCCGGUCGACGCCCGGGGAAGCAAGCUUCCCCGUCGUUUCCCCUCGACUUGCAUGUGUUAAGCCUGUAGCCAGCGUUCAUCCUGAGCCAGGAUCAAACUCUAAUCGAAUUCCG